CCGCUAGAAGAUGAAGAAUUGAUUGAGUACAUCAUCACCGGGCUUGGCGAGGAUUUCAAUCCACUCGUCACGUCUCUCUGUACUAGAGUGGAGUCGAUCACGCUUGGUGAGUUUUAUUCGCAGCUCCUCAGUUUUGAAA
rfam:Dichanthelium oligosanthes cultivar Kellogg 1175 unplaced genomic scaffold Do_version_2_scaffold790, whole genome shotgun sequence.